rnacentral:rRNA from 1 species
GACGAACGCUGGCGGCGUGCUUAACACAUGCAAGUCGAACGGAAAGGCCCUGCUUUUGUGGGGUGCUCGAGUGGCGAACGGGUGAGUAACACGUGAGUAACCUGCCCUUGACUUUGGGAUAACUUCAGGAAACUGGGGCUAAUACCGGAUAGGAGCUCCUGCUGCAUGGUGGGGGUUGGAAAGUUUCGGCGGUUGGGGAUGGACUCGCGGCUUAUCAGCUUGUUGGUGGGGUAGUGGCUUACCAAGGCUUUGACGGGUAGCCGGCCUGAGAGGGUGACCGGCCACAUGGGAAUGGAGAUACGGCCAGGACUCAUAGGGGGGGAAGAGGUGGGGAUAAUUGCAAAAUGGGCGGAGGCUGGAUGCAGCAACGCCGCGUGCGGGAGGACGGCCUUCGGGUGGUAAACCGCUUUCGCCUGUGACGAAGCGUGAGUGACGGUAAUGGUAAAGAAGCACCGGCUAACUACGUG